UCACAUUUAUAAGACAAUGAAGAUCGCGU
rnacentral:sRNA from 1 species